rnacentral:tRNA from 1 species
GCCUGUGUAGCUGAAUUGGUGGAGCGUUACGCUUUUAACGACUUUUAAACGAACAGGGUUCGACUCCCUGCGCAGGCA